UACGAAGGGGGCUAGCGUUGCUCGGAAUCACUGGGCGUAAAGCGCACGUAGGCGGAUUGCUAAGUCAGGGGUGAAAUCCUGGAGCUCAACUCCAGAACUGCCUUUGAUACUGGCGAUCUCGAGUCCGGGAGAGGUGAGUGGAAUUGCGAGUGUAGAGGUGAAAUUCGUAGAUAUUCGCAAGAACACCAGUGGCGAAGGCGGCUCACUGGCCCGGUACUGACGCUGAGGUGCGAAAGCGUGGGGAGCAAACAGG
rnacentral:rRNA from 1 species